UAUCAAAAUGUAGUUACCCUAUUUUAGAAAAAUCUUUAUAAAAUUGAUAGUAAGUUACUUUAAAAAACCACUUUCAUGUUUAUCUAUACUUCAUUGAAUAGUUAUUAGUGGAGGUAAUAUUUAUUUUUAGAAUUAAAAAUUAACAAAUAGAAUACAUGAUAUGCAAAUAAUAGGGCAGUAUAUAUUUCUGGAAGAUGAUCACUUGUCCCUUUCAGUUGUACAGUAGUGCCCCUGAUACAUACCAUGCUUACAAAUGCUUACAGCCACAGUGAGCCCUUUCGUCCAGUCCUUUGUAAACAUGAUUGCUACCUCUGCCUUUGUUGUAAAGCAUAAUAAUAAACUCCACUUUAAUCUUCUGUUAAACAAUAAACAACAUAUUGUUGGAUUAAUUUUUAAUCUAUUCUGCUAACCAUUUCCAUUUUAUGGAUGAGUUCAUUCAACUUAUAUUCAAAGUUAGUGUCCUUUACAAAUAGGUGGCAGCUAUGCAAGAUACUGAGAUCUCUAGUUCAGUCUCUGAAACGAACUUUGCUUCCUUCACAGUCCUAAUGGGCUUUUAUCUCUAUAAGGAUCUGACUCUUAAAAACAUCAUUUUACCUAGUUUAACAAUGGCUCUAUUUGAAAUGUGAGAGACAUGCACAACUAGACUUCAAUAGUCACUAUUAUCUUAGGGCAAAAAUUCUGAUCCUACCUAAACCAUAGAAAUUCCUGAGACCUUUCCAUGAAUUUGUACGGUCAAAACUUCUUUCAUAAGAAUACUGGCUUCAAUUUUUAAUAUAGUAAUUAUUGAUAAAUAUGAUCCAAUGAAUAUCUCAAUAAUUUUUUAAAAUAUUGACAAACUUGAGAUUUACUGCCCUAGAGAAUAAGGGUCUUGUCAAGUGGUUUCAGUUGCCUGAGCUCCAGGAUACAUGGCUAGAAAAUGAAGAGAGCAUUGAAGGAUAAAGAAUUCAGGAAGUAGUUGUCUAUAGUGAUUUCAUAAGUUCAGUAAAGAGGUCUGUGACUGGACAGCAUAGUAUUGGAUAAUAAGAGAUUCUUCUUUUUGGUUCCUUCUACUGCAUUUAGUUGUUGUGGUACAAUUCAGCAUUCCUUGGAGGUAUCAUAUACCAAAUUACUAAACUGGAACUAUUUCAAAAGCAUCAGAGGUUGGGUAAUGUGUCAGAAUAGCUGGUCAUUGCUGCUAAUCUAUCCCCGACUGAAAAAAUGGCAUUUUUUUUUCAUUUUAGGACAAAAGGUUUGCCCCUGCUGAUCAACAAUUUAUCAUCUGCCCAAGUUAUAGAUGUCUCAAAGCUGUGUCUGUGACAAAUCAACAUUACUUUGGAAAGACUCUCUGGUCAAGGGAUUUCUGGCAUCCAGUUUCCAGAAAGAUUUUCCUGACAAGCAUCAGGAAACAUCUGUCAUACUAAGGGGCCCAGAGUGUGAUGUGAACUUCCCUGUGGCCAGCAUCAGGGCUUGGAAGUGACUGCCACAAUUGCCGCAGGAUCUUGGGAGUUCUCAACUCAUAUGUGAUACCCAAUUCAGAGGAUAAACUGAUUACCUGGGUAUGUAGGAAUAUCGACUCCACAUUAGAAUGGACAUAGAAAUAUGGUUUCCUUGCCCAGAAGAUGUUGGAUGAAAGUGACAAGAAAGUGCCAAUAAGAAAUGAAAAAUCAAGUUGGUGAGUUUCCUGUGAACAGCCUAAAGAAAGUAUAUAUGGCUGAACUAUUCUAUAUUAUUAAAUGGUGGAAGAUUACAUCCUUUUCUAUUAUGUGCUUACAGGAUCUCACUAGAAAAACAGACCUAAUCUUGAUCAGAAUGAUGACUUGUUUGGUAUAAAUUACCCAGUGAACAAAGAUGAAGGUAGAAGUUAUAAUAUCUGUUAGUGAAGCCAACAGCAUCAUUAUUGUGAGAGAGAGACAUGAUAUUCCAAAAAUUGUUACUAACUACACUUUUUCUAAUUAAAUAUUAGGUUUGUCUACCUGGCAAAAAUUGCAUUGUUAUGUAACAUGACUUUCCAUAUCAAUGCCAGCUGGAGAUAUGAAAACCAAGUAUAUACAUAUUGGGUACCCCAUAUGGCACAUGAGAAACAAAGCUACCUAGUUGCUGCAUCUUCAUGGCUAUAUAAGCUACCCCUUGUCAUGGAGGAGCACCCUGGA